rnacentral:rRNA from 1 species
UUCCGUAAAGGGGGCCUGCGGAAGGAUCAUUACAGAGUUCAUGCCCGAAAGGGUAGACCUCCCACCCUUGUGUAUUAUUACUUUGUUGCUUUGGCGAGCUGCCUUCGGGCCUUGUAUGCUCGCCAGAGAAUACCAAAACUCUUUUUAUUAAUGUCGUCUGAGUACUAUAUAAUAGUUAAAACUUUCAACAACGGAUCUCUUGGUUCUGGCAUCGAUGAAGAACGCAGCGAAAUGCGAUAAGUAAUGUGAAUUGCAGAAUUCAGUGAAUCAUCGAAUCUUUGAACGCACAUUGCGCCCCUUGGUAUUCCGGGGGGCAUGCCUGUUCGAGCGUCAUUUCAACCCUCAAGCUUAGCUUGGUAUUGAGUCUAUGUCAGUAAUGGCAGGCUCUAAAAUCAGUGGCGGCGCCGCUGGGUCCUGAACGUAGUAAUAUCUCUCGUUACAGGUUCUCGGUGUGCUUCUGCCAAAACCCAAAUUUUUCUAUGGUUGACCUCGGAUCAGGUAGGGAUACCCGCUGAACUUAAGCAUAUCAAUAGGCCGGAGGAA